AAUCCCAGAUGGAGUUGAUAGGAGCCAUUGAUCAGGGCACAUCAAGUACUAGGUUGAUCAUCUUUAAAGCUGGAACAUGUGAGGUGCUUGUAGAGCAUCAGCUGGAGGUACAGCAACAUUUUCCUAAUGAAGGAUGGGUUGAACAAGAUCCUUUGGAACUACUCAAAUCUGUUCAUCUUUGUAUUCAGGGAGUUGUUGAUAAACUUCAGGCAAAGAAUAUCCCAGUUUCAUCAAUAAAGGGAAUUGGACUAACUAACCAACGAGAAACAACUAUUGUCUGGAACAGAUUAACUGGAAUCCCUGUUCAUCCAGCCAUGGUAUGGAGUGAUGCCAGAAACAGUCUGAUAGUCAAAAACCUCUGCAGUGAAUUUGGACAAGACCAUUUAAGGACACAGUGUGGAUUACCCAUUGCCACAUAUUUCUCUGCCACAAAACUAUUGUGGUUAUGGGACCAUAUUCCUGAGGUAAAACAGUUAGCAGAGGAGGGAAAUCUAUUGUUUGGAACUGUGGACACUUGGAUUCUUUGGAACCUCACUGGAGGAACGCAGAAUGGAUUGCACCUAACAGAUGUAACAAAUGCUUCCAGAACAAUGCUCAUGUCCUUGAAAACACUUUCCUGGGAUCCAAGUCUUCUGAAGUUCUUCAACUUGCCUCUUCAUAUUCUUCCAACCAUCAAAGCAUCCUCAGAUGAUUUUGGUUGUAUUGCAACUGGUCCUAUGAGGGGGAUCAAGAUUUCGGGGGUGGUAGGGGAUCAACAAGCAGCCCUGCUGGGACAGGGGUGCACAAGGAUAGGAGAGGCGAAAAGUACAUACGGAACAGGAUGCUUUAUGUUGUACAAUACAGGGGAUUCUAUUGUUGAAAGCAAGCAUGGUCUUCUUACAACUGUAGCAUACCAGCAAGCCGGGAGGAGUGCUACUUACGCCUUGGAGGGUUCUGUAGCAGUAGCAGGAUCUUCAGUCAGAUGGUUACGAGAUAAUCUGGGAUUAAUAAAGGACUCCAGUGAGAUAUCCUCACUGGCGGAGCAAGUGGAAAAAACUGACGGAGUGUACUUUGUUCCCGCAUUUUCAGGAUUGUUUGCUCCUCACUGGAAAAGUGAUGCUAGAGGAACUCUGUGUGGGUUAACAUCACAUUCUACAAAACAUCAUAUUUGCAGGGCUGUACUCGAGGCAACUUGUUUCCAGGUGAAGGACAUUUUCGAGGCUAUGAAGAUGGAUAGUAAGAGUUCACCAUCUUCUAUACUAGUUGACGGAGGAAUGACCGCCAGCCAGAUUUUACUACAGCUUCAGUCCAACAUACUAGGAAUAGAUGUGCAAAAACCUUCAUUUAGCGAGGUGACCGCUCUAGGGGCUGCAGUAGCUGCGGGGGUCAGCCUGGGGUUAUGGCAACUUGGAACUAAGAUUUCAGAUCUACAGACUUACAGUCCUGAGAUCGAUAAUAUUGAACGGGAUCGUAAAAUGAAAAGGUGGCGAAUGGCACUUGAACGAAGCUUAGGUUGGGAAUUGGAAUAAAACCUCUGCAAAAGGAUGAACAAUGAACAUGAUAACUCUAGAUCUCCAGCCUUUUCAAGAGAUGUAUGUUCCUUGCAGUUUGUAACUUGUAAGCAAAGCAAUUGUAAUAAUCCGCGGAUUUGUAUACAAAAACGGCAAAAUAUUAACCAUUAUGAACAAAAACUUUUAUUCUGUAAUCUCAAAUCUCAAAUGCUGUAAGGCCAAAUUUGGAAUUUUUCCUGCUAAAAAGAACAUUUUUGCUUGCUUAAAAGGCUCUGCCUUAAAUCCAGAUGAUGUAAUUUUUUCACUGAUAUUUGUAGAUUUUCAGCAUUUAAAAAAUAAGUUUAUUGAAAUAUGACGUUCGAGCUGAACUGUUAGUAUUAAACCAAUUAUAUAAUUUUAAGUUUGUAACAUCAUAUGCAUGAUUGGGUUUAGUUUUAUCCCAAGUAAAAGGAUGAUUUUUAAUUAAAUAUUAUCCCUAGAUAUAAUGUUACACAUGGUGCUAAUCGAGACAAAUGUAUAAAGUUGGAUUUUUA
rnacentral:misc_RNA from 1 species